UACGGGGGGGGCAAGCGUUGUUCGGAAUUACUGGGCGUAAAGGGCGCGUAGGUGGUUUGCUAAGUUGGAUGUGAAAACUCUGGGCUUAACUCAGAGCCUGCAUCCAAAACUGGCAAACUUGAGUACUGGAGGGGAAAGCGGAAUUCCUGGUGUAGCGGUGAAAUGCGUAGAUAUCAGGAGGAACACCGGUGGCGAAGGCGGCUUUCUGGACAGUAACUGACACUGAGGCGCGAAAGCUAGGGGAGCAAACAGG
rnacentral:rRNA from 1 species